rnacentral:rRNA from 1 species
UACGUAGGGUGCGAGCGUUAAUCGGAAUUACUGGGCGUAAAGCGUGCGCAGGCGGGCUUUUAAGCCAGACGUGAAAUCCCCGGGCUUAACCUGGGAAUGGCGUUUGGGACUGGAAGUCUGGAGUGCGGCAGAGGAGACUGGAAUUCCUGGUGUAGCAGUGAAAUGCGUAGAUAUCAGGAGGAACACCGGUGGCGAAGGCGGGUCUCUGGGCCGAUACUGACGCUGAGGAGCGAAAGCGUGGGGAGCGAACAGG